UAGAAAUAAACCUGAACAGGCUGUUGCUAGUUCUUCUGUGCACGUCUGGUCAUCUUUAUUUUUUCCAACUGUGCACGUAUUGUAGACCUGAUGGUUCAUCUUAUCAUUGGGAUAGAUUGAGGACUGCUGUGCUUUCCUUUUGCAUCUCCAGGUCUAUGUUUUUUACAUUUUUACAAAUAUGUUUCAGAAUGUUGAGUACUGGGGAUAACAAAUAUA
rnacentral:misc_RNA from 1 species